rnacentral:rRNA from 2 species
CGUGACGGCGCGAGCAGGUGCGAAAGCAGGUCAUAGUGAUCCGGUGGUUCUGAAUGGAAGGGCCAUCGCUCAACGGAUAAAAGGUACUCCGGGGAUAACAGGCUGAUACCGCCCAAGAGUUCAUAUCGACGGCGGUGUUUGGCACCUCGAUGUCGGCUCAUCACAUCCUGGGGCUGAAGUAGGUCCCAAGGGUAUGGCUGUUCGCCAUUUAAAGUGGUACGCGAGCUGGGUUUAGAACGUCGUGAGACAGUUCGGUCCCUAUCUGCCGUGGGCGCUGGAGAACUGAGGGGGGCUGCUCCUAGUACGAGAGGACCGGAGUGGACGCAUCACUGGUGUUCGGGUUGUCAUGCCAAUGGCACUGCCCGGUAGCUAAAUGCGGAAGAGAUAAGUGCUGAAAGCAUCUAAGCACGAAACUUGCCCCGA